rnacentral:rRNA from 1 species
CCUACGGGAGGCAGCAGUGAGGAAUAUUGGUCAAUGGGCGCGAGCCUGAACCAGCCAAGUAGCGUGAAGGAUGACUGCCCUACGGGUUGUAAACUUCUUUUAUAAAGGAAUAAAGCGCGGGACGUGUCCCGUUUUGUAUGUACCUUAUGAAUAAGGAUCGGCUAACUCCGUGCCAGCAGCCGCGGUAAUACGGAGGAUCCGAGCGUUAUCCGGAUUUAUUGGGUUUAAAGGGUGCGUAGGCGGCCUUUUAAGUCAGCGGUGAAAGUCUGUGGCUCAACCAUAGAAUUGCCGUUGAAACUGGGAGGCUUGAGUAUGUGUGAGGCAGGCGGAAUGCGUGGUGUAGCGGUGAAAUGCUUAGAUAUCACGCAGAACCCCGAUUGCGAAGGCAGCCUGCCAAGCCAUGACUGACGCUGAUGCACGAAAGCGUGGGGAUCAAACAGGAUUAGAUACCCUAGUAGUC